GUGGAUUAGAUACCCGGGUAGUCCACGCCCUAAACGAUGUCUACUAGUUGUCGGGUCUUAAUUGACUUGGUAACGCAGCUAACGCGUGAAGUAGACCGCCUGGGGAGUACGGUCGCAAGAUUAAAACUCAAAGGAAUUGACGGGGACCCGCACAAGCGGUGGAUGAUGUGGAUUAAUUCGAUGCAACGCGAAAAACCUUACCUACCCUUGACAUGUCAGGAACCUCCGAGAGAUUGGAGGGUGCCCGAAAGGGAGCCUGAACACAGGUGCUGCACGGCUGUCGACAACU
rnacentral:rRNA from 1 species